CCUACGGGAGGCAGCAGUAAGGAAUAUUGGUCAAUGGGCGCAAGCCUGAACCAGCCAUGCCGCGUGCAGGAAGACGGCCCUAUGGGUUGUAAACUGCUUUUGAACAAGAGAAAACCUCGGUACGUGUACCGAGCUGAUAGUAUUGUUAGAAUAAGCAUCGGCUAACUUCGUGCCAGCAGCCGCGGUAAGACGAAGGAUGCAAGCGUUAUCCGGAUUCAUUGGGUUUAAAGGGUGCGUAGGCGGCCUGAUAAGUCAGUGGUGAAAUCUCUCAGCUUAACUGAGAAACUGCCAUUGAUACUGUCGGGCUUGAGUACAGAUGAUGUGGGCGGAAUAUGACAUGUAGUGGUGAAAUACUUAGAUAUGUCAUAGAACACCGAUUGCGAAGGCAGCUCACAAAACUGUAACUGACGCUGAGGCACGAAAGUGCGGGGAUCAAACAGGAUUAGAUACCCUGGUAGUCCGCACCGUAAACGAUGAUUACUCGUUGUUGGCAAUAUGACCGUCAGCGACCAAGCGAAAGCGAUAAGAAUCCACCUGGGGAGUACGCCGGCAACGGUGAAACUCAAAGGAAUUGACGGGCGAGAGAGNGCGAGGACGACACGAGGGAGGAGG
rnacentral:rRNA from 1 species